rnacentral:piRNA from 1 species
UGUUGGGAUUGUUGGGUCUUCAUGCAUCCU